rnacentral:rRNA from 1 species
AUUGAACGCUGGCGGCAUGCCUUACACAUGCAAGUCGAACGGUAACAGGUCUUCGGAUGCUGACGAGUGGCGAACGGGUGAGUAAUACAUCGGAACGUGCCUAGUAGUGGGGGAUAACUACUCGAAAGAGUGGCUAAUACCGCAUGAGAUCUACGGAUGAAAGCAGGGGAUCGCAAGACCUUGUGCUACUAGAGCGGCCGAUGGCAGAUUAGGUAGUUGGUGGGAUAAAAGCUUACCAAGCCGACGAUCUGUAGCUGGGCUGAGAGGACGAUCAGCCACACUGGGACUGAGACACGGCCCAGACUCCUACGGGAGGCAGCAGUGGGGAAUUUUGGACAAUGGGCGCAAGCCUGAUCCAGCAAUGCCGCGUGCAGGAUGAAGGCCUUCGAGUUGUAAACUGCUUUUGUACGGAACGAAAAGCCCUGGGUUAAUACCCUGGGGUCAUGACGGUACCGUAAGAAUAAGCACCGGCUAACUACGUGCCAGCCGCCGCCGUAAUAC